CACAACAAAGAGGAAUUAAGUCAAGGUAUAACACAACGUGAUUAUUUUUGUUUUUAUUCACAUAAACAUUCACUUUUUACUCAAGUGCAAUGUACAGACCUUAGCAGCAUAUGCUUUUGGGUUAAAAUUUACACUUUACUUGAGUGAUCUUAAGGUUAUUCUUUUAAUUUUCUGUAUUUUUUUCUACAAAUUUUUACAAAAUGUACAGUCAUUAGUACAAUAUUGCCAUUCAAUCAUGCCUUACGACUGAAUUACUUGAUGUAGGUUUGUCCGGGAUUUUUCAUGUUUCUGGUGUUUUGAAGAAAACGCUUAACUCAAACAUAAAAUGAAUGUUGCAAAAAAAGAAAGAAAAAAAAAAAAAAAAACGUGCAUUAACAGUCUUUCAAGUUAUGGAAAUUUCAAACUGGUGAAAAAAGCCAUGAACCAUAUCUUUUUAACAUGAUCAAGAUGAUCCUUUGAGCAAUUAUUGGGAAUUUAAAAAAAUAAAUAAAUACAGAUAACAGAAAAAGGCAGAAGAAAGGUAAUGUCAUGUUUGAAUGGUCAGUUUCACCAUCUUUCUAUUGAUAACAUAUUUCUUAUGGGUACAACGUUUAUCACAUUUAAUCUUGGAAAGAUUCAUUAUCAUUUAAAAAAAUAUAGAACAUCAGGUGAGACACUAAACGGGUCUGAGUGAGACUUGAAAAUAUAUUUGCCACCACUAGGUGUCCCUGUAACAUCUCGAGCUGUUUAUAAAGGGUGGCCACAUGACAUCUCAGCAAGGGUUGACAAAGUGGCAUUCGAAAAUAUAUACUGAAAGCUUAUUAAAGAAUACAUGAGUAACAAAUUAUGCAAAGAAAGGAAGGGUUGCCAGUCAAUUAAAAUAUAAUAAUCAGGGAGUGGGAUGAUUGUAUUGGUAUACAACAAUAAACAUCUUUACAGAUGAAUAGUAAUAACUUGAUCAAAUAAAUUGAGGUUAAAACAUGCAUACUAAAACAAAAAACGUAAAUCUAAAGAAUCAGACAUGAAUGACAAGUAUCUGUAAAUGAAAUAAACGAAUGCAGGAGAAUCAUUGGUUAAACCUCUGGUAAAGUGGCAUGCGUUUCAAAGGUUGGGUCGGGGCUUUACAAAGCCAUUUGUAAUGUGCUCGGUUUGUAAAUGAAUCCAUUAACUACAAAUUACUCCAUAAUCACAGAUCUCUACUCGCACUCUUAACUCCAUUUUCGUCUUUUAUGUCUACAUCAAACCGGCGACGUUUCCCUUUCUUUUCACGCAGGUCUCUGCCCAGAACACCAUGUGUAAAGAUACAGCGCUGACACACAAAGAGAAAUGACACGCCACCUGUGAGCGGGAUUGAGGUAUUAAAGAGCAAGCUGUACCAACCCAAAAAACGGCAAGAGACCCGGGGUGUCGUAAUGGCACCGUUUACAUUAGCUCUAGCCUGCACACCCAAAAUGGAGCUGAAUUAACCUGUCUUUGCAAUGUCAAACCCUACUGUUUUUUGUUCCUUCUUUUUUCUCAUUGUACCAAUGAACCAAAGGCAAAGGAGAGAGAGAGAGAGAGAGGAAAAUGAGGGACGCAUCACUCUGACAGGACCUCUAAUUGGACAGCGUGUCGGAGCUCUUCAGGGCCAGGCCAUCCGGAAACGGGCAGAUAAUGACAAGACGGCGGCUGCCUUUCACUUUGGCGAAGGUUAACACACAUACACGCGUUUGAAUGACGGCUACAGGAGAGCCAUCGGUGGAGUGAGAAAGAGAGAGUGGGGUUCCAUUAUCACAGAACAGCUUUCCUGUGGCUGAACGGAGGCAGCGGAGGAGCGCGGGAGGGAGAGAUGGAGGAUAAUGAUGUGAGGUCAGGGAAGAUGAUGAAGGGAUGAAAAAAAUGACUGCGACUAAGGAUGAAAAACAGGGUGAGCUGGUUGAGGGCAGUGGAGAUGAAUGGAGUUGGUCUAUAAGGGACUAUAAGGACUUUAAACCUGUUUUCCAGCCUGCUCUUGAUGGUGACCUUGAUCAACGGCCCCUCUGAGUUGUGGGCUCAACAAAAGAGCGGGAUAACUCAAUGGGACAUAAAAUGGAAAAGGAGUGGCACUCAGAAAAAAGAUCUGGAUGCUCUAUUCUGUCUUAUUCUGUGUGUGUUUUUUAAAGUAAUUACUUUAACCCUGCACGAUGACCUAGCCAGAUAGAAUCAGACCCUUGUGGUCCUGGCCGAUGCAAUCUGAUUGGUCAAAUUAAUGGCCCAGGGGAGAGAGCUUGACCUUGGUGUGACUCUGUGUCGCUGUGUCCAACCUAACACAUACACAUUAUAUGUAGGGCUAGGUGAUUUACUGGUAGGAAUAUGUGAGCUGGUAUAAAUAUUCUGUUGUAAUCAUGUAUAAUGCUCAUACUUGGUAAGGAAAGGUGUUCCAAACAUUUCAAUGAGGGAAGAGCAAACGAAGAAGAGCUUGCUA